UACGUAGGGGGCAAGCGUUGUCCGGAUUUAUUGGGCGUAAAGAGCUCGUAGGCGGUCUGUCGCGUCGAAUGUGAAAACCCGGGGCUCAACUCCGGGCUUGCAUUCGAUACGGGCAGACUAGAGUGUGGUAGGGGAGACUGGAAUUCCUGGUGUAGCGGUGAAAUGCGCAGAUAUCAGGAGGAACACCGGUGGCGAAGGCGGUUCUCUGGGCAUGUCCUGACGCUGAGGAGCGAAAGUGUGGGGAGCGAACAGG
rnacentral:rRNA from 1 species